rnacentral:lncRNA from 1 species
CAGGCUAAUGUUCUUUUAAUGUGCUAUCUUCAAAUAUAGUGCCUUGGAGGGUUAUGUGUGUCCUUAUAAAUAAAGCAAAAGCCAGAAAUGCCAAAGUAUAAAUGGACAACACUGAACUCCUUAAGAUGGCAAAAGGCAGGCAGUAUAGUUUGUUUUCAUGAUGUGUGAUUCCCAGGAGCCUCAGCAGAUUUCAGCAGGGGAAACCUACCAGAGAAGUCCUCUUGGCUGCAGAUUACAAGAUCUUUAAGGAGCUCUGUAGAAGUAGAGAAGGGUUAUUAAAAAGAGAUUACUUCCAGGCUGUGACAAACUUGUCGGCACAAGCUAAAAGUGACUUUUCAGAUGUUUACAACGAGUUUGAUAAGAUUUUUAGAAGGACAUCAUUAAGCACCUCUUCAGCACUGAGGGCUGACAAGGUCGUAGGAGUGCUGCGAAAGAGACGCAUCAAGGAAUUGAUCUCUGGUUUUCACAUGCCAGUAAAAGUUAGGACAGCAUCCUCAACAGCAGGUGACCUGGAUUCAGCUAAAGGAGGGUUCAGCAUCCAUUUCCUGAAGGUGAGAAGAAUUUAUUCAGAAUAAUGCGAGGCUGAGGAAGAACUAACAUGGUUGUCGGCCAGUAUCUGGGCACUUUUACACCCCAUGGCAUCAAUGAGAAUAGAACCAGCAGCAUUUCACAGGGAAAGCAGA